GGGUGACGAGGUCUGUGCUGCUAAUGCACUUUGCAUCACGUAGACAAUAUGCAUAGUGAAAGAGGGGUGACGAGGUCUGUGCUGCUUAUGCACUUUGCAUCACGUAGACACUGUAUAGUGAAAGAGGGGUGACGAGGUCUGUGCUGCUAAUGCACUUUGCAUCACGUAGACACUAUGUAUAGUGAACGAGGGGUGACGAGGUCUGUGCU